rnacentral:rRNA from 1 species
UAGGGAAUCUUCGGCAAUGGGGGCAACCCUGACCGAGCAACGCCGCGUGAGUGAAGAAGGUUUUCGGAUCGUAAAGCUCUGUUGUAAGAGAAGAACGUGUGUGAGAGUGGAAAGUUCACACAGUGACGGUAACUUACCAGAAAGGGACGGCUAACUACGUGCCAGCAGCCGCGGUAAUACGUAGGUCCCGAGCGUUGUCCGGAUUUAUUGGGCGUAAAGCGAGCGCAGGCGGUUUAAUAAGUCUGAAGUUAAAGGCAGUGGCUUAACCAUUGUUCGCUUUGGAAACUGUUAAACUUGAGUGCAGAAGGAGAGAGUGGAAUUCCAUGUGUAGCGGUGAAAUGCGUAGAUAUAUGGAGGAACAACGGUGGCGAAAGCGGCUCUCUGGUCUGUAACUGACGCUGAGGCUCGAAAGCGUGGGGAGCAAACAGG